UAUCCGGAAUCAUUAGGGCGUAAAGCGCCUGUAGGUUGUUUAAUAAGUCUGUUGUUAAAGACUGGGGCUUAACCCCAGGAAAGCAAUGGAAACUACUAGACUAGAGUAUGGUAGGGGUAAAGGGAAUUUCUAGUGUAGCGGUGAAAUGCGUAGAUAUUAGAAAGAACACCGGUGGCGAAAGCGCUUUACUGGACCAUUACUGACACUCAGGGGCGAAAGCUAGGGUAGCCAAAGGGAUUAGAUACCCCUGUAGUCCUAGCCGUAAACGAUGGAUACUAGAUGUUGCGCUUAUUGUGCAGUGUCGUAGCUAACGCGUUAAGUAUCCCGCCUGGGGAGUACGAUCGCAAGGUUGAAACUCAAAGGAAUUGACGGGGGCCCGCACAAGCGGUGGAGCAUGUGGUUUAAUUCGAUGCAACGCGAAGAACCUUACCAGGGCUUGACAUACUGCAAAUUUUCUUGAAAGAGAAAAGUGCCUUCGGGAAUGCAGAUACAGGUGGUGCAUGGCUGUCGUCAGCUCGUGUCGUGAGAUGUUGGGUUAAGUCCCGCAACGAGCGCAACCCUCGUUUUUAGUUGCCAUUUUAUGGGUUCUCUAGAAAGACUGCCGGUGACAAACCGGAGGAAGGUGGGGAUGACGUCAAGUCAGCAUGCCCCUUAUGCCCUGGGCUACACACGUGCUACAAUGGCUAAGACAAAGAGUCGCGAAUUCGCGAGAAUCAGCUAAUCUCAUAAACUUAGUCUAAGUUCAGAUUGUAGGCUGCA
rnacentral:rRNA from 1 species